UACGGGGGGGGCAAGCGUUGUUCGGAAUUACUGGGCGUAAAGCGCACGUAGGCGGCUUAGCAAGUCGGAUGUGAAAUCCCUCGGCUCAACCAAGGAAGUGCAUCCGAAACUGCUGAGCUUGAGUACGAAAGAGGAUCGCGGAAUUCCCGGUGUAGAGGUGAAAUUCGUAGAUAUCGGGAGGAACACCAGUGGCGAAGGCGGCGAUCUGGGUCGAUACUGACGCUGAGGUGCGAAAGCGUGGGGAGCAAACAGG
rnacentral:rRNA from 1 species